UACGAAGGGGGCUAGCGUUGUUCGGAUUUACUGGGCGUAAAGGGCGCGUAGGCGGCGCAACAAGUCACUUGUGAAAUCUCCGGGCUUAACCCGGAGCGGCCAAGUGAUACUGUCGUGCUAGAGUGCGGAAGGGGCUACUGGAAUUCUCGGUGUAGCGGUGAAAUGCGUAGAUAUCGAGAGAAACACCUGCGGCGAAGGCGGGUAGCUGGGCCGACACUGACGCUGAGGCGCGAAAGCCAGGGGAGCGAACGGG
rnacentral:rRNA from 1 species